GACGAACGCUGGCGGCGUGCUUAACACAUGCAAGUCGAACGGAAAGGCCCUGCUUUUGUGGGGUGCUCGAGUGGCGAACGGGUGAGUAACACGUGAGUAACCUGCCCUUGACUUUGGGAUAACUUCAGGAAACUGGGGCUAAUACCGGAUAGGAGCUCCUGCUGCAUGGUGGGGGUUGGAAAGUUUCGGCGGUUGGGGAUGGACUCGCGGCUUAUCAGCUUGUUGGUGGGGUAGUGGCUUACCAAGGCUUUGACGGGUAGCCGGCCUGAGAGGGUGACCGGCCACAUUGGGACUGAGAUACGGCCCAGACUCCUACGGGAGGCAGCAGUGGGGAAUAUUGCACAAUGGGCGGAAGCCUGAUGCAGCAACGCCGCGUGCGGGAUGACGGCCUUCGGGUUGUAAACCGCUUUCGCCUGUGACGAAGCGUGAGUGACGGUAAUGGGUAAAGAAGCACCGGCUAACUACGUGCCAGCAGCCGCGGUGAUACGUAGGGUGCGAGCGUUGUCCGGAUUUAUUGGGCGUAAAGGGCUCGUAGGUGGUUGAUCGCGUCGGAAGUGUAAUCUUGGGGCUUAACCCUGAGCGUGCUUUCGAUACGGGUUGACUUGAGGAAGGUAGGGGAGAAUGGAAUUCCUGGUGGAGCGGUGGAAUGCGCAGAUAUCAGGAGGAACACCAGUGGCGAAGGCGGUUCUCUGGGCCUUUCCUGACGCUGAGGAGCGGAAGCGUGGGGAGCGAACAGGCUUAGAUACCCUGGUAGUCCACGCUGUAAACGGUGGGUACUAGGUGUGGGGUCCAUUCCACGGGUUCCGUGCCGUAGCUAACGCUUUAAGUACCCCGCCUGGGGAGUACGGCCGCAAGGCUAAAACUCAAAGGAAUUGACGGGGCCCCGCACAAGCGGCGGAGCAUGCGGAUUAAUUCGAUGCAACGCGUAGAACCUUACCUGGGUUUGACAUGGAUCGGGAGUGCUCAGAGAUGGGUGUGCCUCUUUUGGGGUCGGUUCACAGGUGGUGCAUGGCUGUCGUCAGCUCGUGUCGUGAGAUGUUGGGUUAAGUCCCGCAACGAGCGCAACCCUUGUUCACUGUUGCCAGCACGUUAUGGUGGGGACUCAGUGGAGACCGCCGGGGUCAACUCGGAGGAAGGUGGGGAUGACGUCAAGUCAUCAUGCCCCUUAUGUCCAGGGCUUCACGCAUGCUACAAUGGCUGGUACAGAGAGUGGCGAGCCUGUGAGGGUGAGCGAAUCUCGGAAAGCCGGUCUCAGUUCGGAUUGGGGUCAGCAACUCGACCUCAUGAAGUCGGAGUCGCUAGUAAUCGCAGAUCAGCAACGCUGCGGUGAAUACGUUCCCGGG
rnacentral:rRNA from 1 species